rnacentral:rRNA from 1 species
GGCGCGAAACCUUUACAAUGCACGCAAGUGUGAUAAGGGAACCCCAAGUGAUAAUACAAAUGUAUUAUCUUUUGCUUAGAGCAAAUAUCUAAGCGAAUAAGUGGUGGGCAAUACCUGUGCCAGCCGCCGCGGUAACCCAGGAGCCACAAGUGGCAACCACCUUUAUUUGGCCUAAAGCGUCCGUAGCUGGUCUUGUAAAUUCUCUGUGAAAUCGUUGCGCUUAACGUAACGGCGUGCAGAGGACACUGCAAGACUAGGGACCGGGAGGAGUUGGAGGUAUUCUGGGGGGAGCGGUAAAAUGCUAUAAUCCCCGGAGGACCACCUGUGGCGAAAGCGUCCAACUAGAACGGAUCCGACAGUGAGGGACGAAAGCUAGGGGAGCAAUCCGGAUUAGAUACCCGAGUAGUCCUAGCCGUAAACGCUGUGAGCUAGGUGUUGCACAAUCUUCGGGAUUGUGCAGUGUCGUAGUGAAGAUGUUAAGCUCACCGCCUGGGGAGUACGGUCGCAAGGCUGAAACUUAAAGGAAUUGGCGGGGGAGCAC